rnacentral:piRNA from 1 species
GGAAAACUGAGUCAUGAGGGACAAGUCU